rnacentral:rRNA from 1 species
UGGGGAAUAUUGGGCAAUGGAGGCAACUCUGACCCAGCAACGCCGCGUGAAUGAUGAAGGUCUUCGGAUUGUAAAGUUCUGUGACGGGGGACGAACACAAUGACGGUACCCCGAUAGCAAGCCACGGCUAACUACGUGCCAGCAGCCGCGGUAAUACGUAGGUGGCAAGCGUUAUCCGGAAUGACUGGGCGUAAAGGGUGCGUAGGUGGCUUAGCAAGUUGGUAGCGUAAUUCCGGGGCUUAACCUCGGCGCUACUACCAAAACUGUUGAGCUCGAGUGCAGGAGGGGUAAGUGGAAUUCCUAGUGUAGCGGUGGAAUGCGUAGAUAUUAGGAGGAACAUCGGUGGCGAAGGCGACUUACUGGACUGUAACUGACACUGAGGCACGAAAGCGUGGGGAGCAAACAGG